AACUUAUCACGAGAGGUGGAGGGACUGGCCCUAUGAAACCCGGCAACCGCUAGCUGUAUGUAAUCCAUACUGACUAGAAAGGUGCCAAUUCCUGCAAGGCAUUCAAUUGUCUUGGGAGAUGAGGA
rnacentral:ncRNA from 2 species